UUAGGAAUUUUGCGCAAUGGGGGAAACCCUGACGCAGCAACGCCGCGUGAGUGAUGAAGGCCUUCGGGUUGUAAAGCUCUUUUGGUAGGGACGAAAAAAAUGACGGUACCUACCGAAUAAGCACCGGCUAACUCUGUGCCAGCAGCCGCGGUAAUACAGAGGGUGCAAGCGUUAUUCGGAAUUAUUGGGCGUAAAGAGCACGUAGGCGGUUAUGUAAGUCUAAUGUGAAAGCCCUGGACUCAAUCCAGGAAGUGCAUCGGAUACUACAUGACUGGAGGAGAGGAGAGGAGAGCGGAAUUCCUGGUGUAGAGGUGAAAUUCGUAGAUAUCAGGAGGAACAACAGAAGCGAAGGCGGCUCUCUGGACUCUAUCUGACGCUGAGGUGCGAAAGCGUGGGGAGCAAACAGG
rnacentral:rRNA from 1 species